rnacentral:rRNA from 1 species
AACGAACGCUGGCGGCAGGCUUAACACAUGCAAGUCGAACGCCCCGCAAGGGGAGUGGCAGACGGGUGAGUAACGCGUGGGAAUCUACCCAGUUCCGCGGAACAACAGUUGGAAACGACUGCUAAUACCGCAUACGCCCUACGGGGGAAAGAUUUAUCGGAAUUGGAUGAGCCCGCGUAAGAUUAGCUAGUUGGUGAGGUAAUGGCUCACCAAGGCGACGAUCUUUAGCUGGUCUGAGAGGAUGAUCAGCCACACUGGGACUGAGACACGGCCCAGACUCCUACGGGAGGCAGCAGUGGGGAAUAUUGGACAAUGGGCGCAAGCCUGAUCCAGCCAUGCCGCGUGAGUGAUGAAGGCCUUAGGGUUGUAAAGCUCUUUCAGUAGGGAAGAUAAUGACGGUACCUACAGGAGAAGCCCCGGCUAACUUCGUGCCAGCCGCCGCCGUAACAC